CCUACGGGUGGCAGCAGUAGGGAAUCUUCCACAAUGGUCGAAAGCCUGAUGGAGCAACGCCGCGUGGAUGAAGAAGGUCUUCGGAUCGUAAACUCCUUUUUUUAGAGAAGAUAAUGACGGUAUCUGACGAAUAAGCACCGGCUAACUCCGUGCCAGCAGCCGCGGUAAUACGGAGGGUGCAAGCGUUACUCGGAAUCACUGGGCGUAAAGAGCGCGUAGGCGGGAUAGCAAGUCAGAUGUGAAAUCCUAUGGCUUAACCAUAGAACUGCAUUUGAAACUGUUAUUCUAGAGUAUGGGAGAGGUAGGUGGAAUUCGUGGUGUAGGGGUAAAAUCCGUAGAGAUCAAGAGGAAUACUGAUUGCGAAGGCGACCUGCUAGAACAUAACUGACGCUGAUGCGCGAAAGCGUGGGGAGCAAACAGGAUUAGAUACCCCGGUAGUC
rnacentral:rRNA from 1 species